AGUUUGAUCAUGGCUCAGGACGAACGCUGGCGGCGUGCUUAACACAUGCAAGUCGAGCGAUGAAGUUCCUUCGGGAAUGAAUUAGCGGCGAACGGGUGAGGAACACGUGAGGAAUCUGCCUUCUACACUGGGAUAACUCCGGGAAACCGGGGCUAAUACCGGAUAUGAAACUUGGUGGCAUCACCGGGUUUGGAAAGUUUUUCGGUAGAAGAUGACCUCGCGGCCUAUCAGCUUGUUGGUGAGGUAAUGGCUCACCAAGGCGACGACGGGUAGCCGGCCUGAGAGGGCGACCGGCCACACUGGGACUGAGACACGGCCCAGACUCCUACGGGAGGCAGCAGUGGGGAAUAUUGGGCAAUGGAGGAAACUCUGACCCAGCGACGCCGCGUGCGGGAUGAAGGCCUUCGGGUUGUAAACCGCUUUCAGCAGGGAAGAAGCGAAAGUGACGGUACCUGCAGAAGAAGCACCGGCUAACUAUGUGCCAGCAGCCGCGGUAAUACAUAGGGUGCAAGCGUUGUCCGGAAUUAUUGGGCGCAAAGAGCUCGUAGGUGGUUCGUCACGUCGGAUGUGAAAAUCUGGGGCUCAACCCCAGACCUGCAUUCGAUACGGGCGAGCUAGAGUGUGGUAGGGGAGACUGGAAUUCCUGGUGUAGCGGUGGAAUGCGCAGAUAUCAGGAGGAACACCAAUGGCGAA
rnacentral:rRNA from 1 species